rnacentral:rRNA from 1 species
CAAGUAGAUAGUGAAAUCUGGUGGCUCAACCAUUCAGACUGUUAUCUAAACUGGGAUGCUCGAGAGCGUCAAGGGUAACUGGAAUUUCUAGUGUAGGAGUGAAAUCCGUAGAUAUUAGAAGGAACACCGAUAGCGUAGGCAGGUUACUGGGCGUUUCUGACACUAAGGCACGAAAGCGUAGGGAGCAAACGGGAUUAGAUACCCCGGUAGUCUACGCCGUAAACGAUGGAUACUA